rnacentral:rRNA from 1 species
AUUGAACGCUGGCGGCAUGCCUUACACAUGCAAGUCGAACGGCAGCACGGGAGCAAUCCUGGUGGCGAGUGGCGAACGGGUGAGUAAUAUAUCGGAACGUGCCCGGUCGUGGGGGAUAACGUAGCGAAAGCUACGCUAAUACCGCAUACGAUCUACGGAUGAAAGCGGGGGAUCGCAAGACCUCGCGCGAUUGGAGCGGCCGAUAUCAGAUUAGGUAGUUGGUGAGGUAAAGGCUCACCAAGCCGACGAUCUGUAGCUGGUCUGAGAGGACGACCAGCCACACUGGGACUGAAACACGGCCCAGACUCCUACGGGAGGCAGCAGUGGGGAAUUUUGGACAAUGGGCGCAAGCCUGAUCCAGCAAUGCCGCGUGCAGGAUGAAGG